AGUUUCUAUUCGAUUGCUGUGAAGAGAUAUUAUGACCAAGGAGCGCCUUAUGAAAGGAAACAUUUAAUUGGGGGUUAACAGUUUUAGAGGGUUGGUCCAUAAUCAUCUUAACGGAAAGUAGACAGGGAUGGCAUUGUAGCUGUAAAUGAGAGCUUUGCAUCCUGAUCCCCAGGGAGGAGGGGGAGAAAGAAGAAGGGAGAGAGACUGAGCGACUGGGCCUUGUGCAGGCUUUUAAAGUCUCAAAGCCCACCCACAGAGACACACCUCCUUCACAAGGCCAUAUUUACUCCAACAAGGCCAUACCUCCUAAUCCUUCCCAAACACUUCCACUCCUUGAUGACUUAAGCAUUCAAAUAUAUGAGCCUGUAGAGGCCAUGGUCAUUCAAACUAGCACAAUAACUAUGUCAGGUUCUUCUGGUAAAAGUAUGUUCUUUGACCCAUAAGAUCUUUUCUCGUGCAAAAGGUGGUCCCAAGUUUGCAAACCCCUUUGAUACACAAAUAUUAACACAGUGAUAUUCUCUGGCACAUUUGCCUGUUUGAUGAUCUGAAAAUUUACAAGUGAAUUGUUUAGAGUUGAUACUACUCUUCUAUGUGGAUUAUCAGGAGCUUCCUGUGCUCAAGCAAUGCCAAGAUCUCCUUUAAUAAAGGGGGGGGGGCACUCAAUCUUGGGAUUUAUUUUAGAAUCAAUCCCAAGAGGACAGCCUGAACCUAGGCUGAACCCAGAAAACAAUGAUAUAUAAAGACAUAAGAUGGGGAGGAAUAUCUCUACCCUUAAUGAGAAUUGUCCUUGUUCUCCAAUAACCCCUGUCCAGGGUUAAGUUGCUUGCAGAUCCGUGAUGUUCAGCCUGCCUGCUUUCUGCUGUCUGACUUGGGCAUUCUCUUCCUUAAAGAUCUCCAUCUAUACACACCCUCCACCUCCCACCAUGGGACUGCUACAAGACUACUAGUGCUGAGCCUGUCUGCUUUCUUGAUAUCUGAUUCAGAAAGUACAGUUUUCCUUUUUCUUCUUUUUCAUCUUUGGCAGCUGUUGCAAUCUCCAGUUUGCCUGCCCCAUUUUUAUUUGUCUUUCAUUUUUCUUCUCUCAGUGCAAGACAAAGGGAUAGGAGAUUGUUUAUUCUAGGCCAAAUAUAAAUGACUAUGCCUGGGAACACAGAUUCAAGUUGCUCUGAAUAACAUGUUACAAUGUAGCUGCUCCAGUGUAGAAGCAGUUAUGUGAACUUGUAUGGCCAUCAAAUAAAAGGAAUCAGAAAUCAAGGCAUUUUCCAAAUUUGUGAAAAGAAAAGGUGGGUGGGUUAUAUAUAACAAAGGGAGAAAUUCUACUUUAGGUUAUGAGUGUCAUCCAGUAACAUCCUUAGUUUUGGGGUUGCUGGAAACUAGUGAUUUUUAAAGUUUAUACAUUCCAAAGGAUUUUCCUGAUAACUGCAAGAAUGUAGGUCAGAUACAGAGGUGAGCAGUGAGUGCCUCAUAAGGGGUUAAAGGCAGCCUAAGAGAGCCAGACUCAAUAUCUGCAGUUCCAACUCUUCCAUAAUCAGGACAUUCUAAUCAGUCAGCUUUGUAGAAUCAUUUUUACGUAGGCGUGGCUCCUCCCUCCUCCCCAGCUUCAUUUAAUGCCUAUGAAUCUGUUUUUUCAAUUAUCUGUAACUCUAAGAUCUUGCUAAAGGGAUCCUUUGUUCUCUAGCAUCAUAUGACACUUGGUCCUUGUCUCUUUUCAAAAUUUCCCAGGGAAUUCUGAGCUCUUUCCAUUUUCAUAUACAAUUUUAAAACAGCUUGUUUGUCCUGGCUUGUGAUGCACAUUGAUAAUCCCAGCUCUUAGAAAACAGAGACAGGAGGAUUGCUGCAAGAUUGAGACCAGCCUGGUUUACAUAGUAAAUUCCAGGUCAGUUGAGGCUACAUAGCAAAGCCAUGUCUCAAAAUCACCACCAUCAUCAACAAAAUCACAGUCUUGUCAGUUUCUCAAAAACAAUAACAACAAGAUACUUGUUUUGUGUUUGUCUCAGUCAGGGUUUCUAUUCCUGCACAAAACAUCAUGACCAAGAAGCAAAUUGAUGAGGAAAGUGUUUAUUCAGCUUACACUUCCACAUUGCUGUUCAUCACCAAAAGAAGUCAGGACUGGAACUCACACAGGUCAGGAAGCAGGAACUGAUACAGAGACCAUGGAGGAAUGUUACUUACUAGCUUGCUUAUAGAACCCAGUAUACCAGCUCAGGGAUGGCAUCACCCACAAUGGUCCCUCCCACCCUUGAUCACUAAUAGAGAAAAUGCCUUACAGCUGGAUCUGAUGGCAUUUCUUUAAGGGAGGCUCCUUUCUCUGUGAUAACUCCAGCUUGUGUCAAGUUAACAUACUAAACCAGCCAGUACAGUGUUCAAUCUAUAUUAUGUCUGGGAGAACUUUCAUCUUUAUAGUAUUGAAUCUUUCAAACUAUGAUUCUGGUCUAGCUCUUUAUUUUGGUAUUCAUUGAUUCAGUAGUUUUGGGUUUUGCUGAGUUGGGGAUUCAACCCAGGGCUUCAUUUCUUGCCAUGUAAGCUUUCACUGAGCUACAGUCCCAGCCCUGGAAUGGGCUUAGAGGAAUAAAAACAAUUGAUCUUAUAUCUUGAACCACAAUUUGUGUAAUUUUUUUCUUUAAGAGUUUUUUUUUUUUUAAAUUUUGUGUGGAUGAUUAUGUCACUGCAUAUUAAGUUUGAUUCAUCCUCUUUUUUUUUUUUAACCUGUAUUUAGUUCUUUAAUUGCUCUGGGUAAGGCUCAAAAAGUUAAAUAUAGAAAUAAGAGAGGAGACUGUGUCUUGACACAGGGUCAGUUGUGCUGGUUAAUUUUUGUUAAGCUUGAUACAAGCCAUGGCAUCUGUGAGGAGGGAACUUCUGUUGGGAAAAUGCCUUCAUCAAAUUGGCUUGUAGGCAACUCUGUGGGAUACAUAAGAAAGCAUACAUAAGAAAGCAAACCAAGCAAUGAGGAACAAGCUGGUACACAGCAUUCCUCCAUGGCUUCUGCUUCAUUUCCUUCCCUGACUUUUCUCAGUGGUGGACUAUAUUAUGGAGUUGUAAGCUGAAUAAACUCUUUCUUUAAG
ensembl:sense_intronic